AGCAGCCGCGGUAAUUCCAGCUCCAAUAGCGUAUAUUAAAGUUGUUGCAGUUAAAAAGCUCGUAGUUGAAUUUCGGGAUUGACACAUCGGUCGUGCCUUAAGGGGUAUGAACUGGUGUAGUCAAUUUCUCACCUUCUGGAGAACCGCGAUGCCCUUAAUUGGGUGUCACGGGGAACCAGGACCUUUACUUUGAAAAAAUUAGAGUGUUUAAAGCAGGCAUUUUGCUUGAAUACAUUAGCAUGGAAUAAUAAAAUAGGACGGCAUGAUUCUAUUUUGUUGGUUUCUAGGAUCACCGUAAUGAUUAAUAGGGAUAGUUGGGGGCAUUAGUAUUCAAUUGUCAGAGGUAGAAAUUCUUGGAUUUAUUGAAGACUAACUACUGCGAAAGCAUUUGCCAAGGAUGUUUUCAUUAAUCAAGAACGAAAGUUAGGGGAUCGAAGACGAUCAGAUACCGUCGUAGUCUUAACCAUAAACUAUGCCGACUAGGAAUCAGACGAUGUUAAUUUUUAAUGACUCGUUUGGC
rnacentral:rRNA from 1 species